rnacentral:tRNA from 1 species
GGUGGCUCAAUGGUAGAGUGCUUGCCUUGCAUGCACGAGCCCUGGGUUCAAUUCCUCAGCACCA